rnacentral:rRNA from 1 species
GACGAACGCUGGCGGCGUGCUUAACACAUGCAAGUCGAACGAAGUGGCGGACGGGUGAGUAACGCGUAAUCAACCUGCCCUUCAGAGGGGGACAACAGUUGGAAACGACUGCUAAUACCGCAUACUGAAGGCGGGGAUUGCGUCCGAUUAGCUAGUUGGAGGGGUAACGGACCACCAAGGCGAUGUUCAGUAGCCGGUCUGAGAGGAUGAUCGGCCAGAUUGGGACGGAGAAACGGCCCAGACUCCUACUGGAGGCAGCAGGUGGGAAUCUUCCGCAAUGGAGGAAAGUCUGACGGGGCAACGCCGGGGGAGUUAUGACGGCCUUCGGGUUGUAAAGCUCUGUUAAUCGGGACGCGGUACCGGAAUAGAAAGCCACGGCUAACUACGUGCCAGCAGCCGCGGUAAGUC